rnacentral:rRNA from 1 species
AACGAACGCUGGCGGCAGGCCUAACACAUGCAAGUCGAGCGCCCCGCAAGGGGAGCGGCGGACGGGUGAGUAACGCGUGGGAACGUACCUUUUGCUUCGGAAUAGCCUCGGGAAACUGGGAGUAAUACCGAAUGUGCCCUACGGGGGAAAGAUUUAUCGGCAAAAGAUCGGCCCGCGUUGGAUUAGGUAGUUGGUGGGGUAAUGGCCUACCAAGCCGACGAUCCAUAGCUGGUUUGAGAGGAUGAUCAGCCACACUGGGACUGAGACACGGCCCAGACUCCUACGGGAGGCAGCAGUGGGGAAUCUUAGACAAUGGGCGCAAGCCUGAUCUAGCCAUGCCGCGUGAGCGAUGAAGGCCUUAGGGUUGUAAAGCUCUUUCGUGGGGGAAGAUAAUGACUGUACCCCAAGAAGAAGCCCCGGCUAACUCCGUGCCAGCAGCCGCCGCCG